rfam:Oryza brachyantha chromosome 3, whole genome shotgun sequence.
AAUAACCUCAUUUUUCGUUUUUCCAUGUUCAAAGUUUGACCAUUCGUCUUAUUUAAAAUUUUUUUAUGAUUAAUAUUUUUAUUCUUACUAGAUAAUAAAACAUAAAUAGUAUUUUAUGUGUGACUAAUUUUUUUAGUUUUUUUACAAAUUUUUAAAAUAAGACAAAUGAUCAAACAUUGGACACGUAAAAACGAAAAUAAGGUUACU